AGCACUAAUAAGGAGAGGUAAAAAAGAUUUUACGUCUGAAAAUUGGAAUCGCUCUUCUUUCCCCUCCAAAAAAAAAUUUAAGGGCUCACACCAGUUAUGUUACCUUUAUGUACCUAUUUUAUCAAAAGUCGGAUACAUUUCGGGGAUCUUUAUUGUAAUAAUUAUUCGUUAAUAGACAGUAAUCAAUUAUAACGCUAUUUUAUUAUAUUAAUUAAUAUUUAUUAAUUAGUGAUAAGGGUUAUAUUUUUCCAUCAGAUAAUAUAUUGCUACGAUAUUCAUCUACUCCGAAAUUUGAUAAUUUUUUAAUCGAUUUCGCGAAUAAUCGAUAUUCGGAGCUGAUUUCAUUCGGAGCAAUCAAUUAAUAGUCCUAUUCGGAGUAUUCGUCGUCGUAGUAACAUCCAAAUUUUUAUAACCAGGUAUUCGUAGUAAUUGUUGUCGGAGUAAAUGUAUUCGGAGGAUUUUUUUACAGUGUCGGAGUAAAUGAAUGUCGGGGCAUCAUCAGUUCGUGGCAAUCUCCGGAACCCGUUUUUACGUCGUCGUUUAUUUCUCAUUAUUUCGUUAUUAUUAUUAGUAGUUAAUGUGAUUUCGUAAAUUUUCUACUACUAUGGCGAUUAUAUUAAUCGAAACUCGCGAUUGGUAAUUUUACGGCGAUUACGAUCAAUAGGGCGUUUGUCGUGUGGCCGGAAGACCGCUUCGAUAAUGGUUCGACCCGUUGGCCGAGAGUGCUGGCUCAAUCAAUAGUGCUGUUAACAAUCUACAACGGAUUUAUUAAACGGGUAACGCAUUUCUGUUCGUUAAAAAAAAACCUGUGCGCUGACGUUUUUACAACGAUUACGGCGUUUGUUGUAUCCCGAGGAAUGUUUCAAUAACGGCUCGGCCUGUUGGCCAACAGUGCUGGUUCUAAUGGACAACGGAUGUAUUACACGGACUCACGUCCGUUGUGCCCGUAUGAAUAUGCUGGAAAUCGCUGAUGGUUUUAGUUUUUUAUUACGAGGGUAAUUCAAAUUUACACCAAACCCUACCCGACCCGAAGAGUGCUGACUCUAAUUCAUAAUUAGUUGUAUCGCACAGAUUGUAUCCGUUGUGCCCGGAUAACUGAGCUAUAAAUGUUGACUGUCGUCGCUAUUGGAUUUAUUGCAAAGACUGUGCUACCGUUGUGGUGCCAGGAUAAGAACACUGACCUAGAGAUUGAUUACAGUCAUCGCUAUUGGAUUUAUUGCAAAGACUGUGCUACCAUUGUGGUUCCAGGAUAAAGACUGAGCUAGAGAUUCAUGGCAGUCAUCGUUAUUGGAUUUAUUGCACCGUCUGGGCAUCUGUUUUGCCCGGUCGACUGUGAUUGAUUAGCGGUCAACUGACCCAAAGAAUGCUGGCUCUAAUUCAUGUUGGUUGUAUUACACAGAUAGUGCACGGCCUUUGGUAAAUUUCACUUCUGUUGAUGUGUUGAUAGUUCUGUGCUGUUGGUUUUUUUUUUAGCCUAUGCUUGCCAUCCUUUACUGUUUGCCGUUCCUCCAAAAUUCCUGUCAAACCUCGAUUCCAUAAGAUAUUGCCAUUCGACAAUGGAGGAUCAUCAAGAUUACUAUGUGCAGUCUGCUUAGGAGUUCAUCGAAAACGUUUAUUC